CAUAUAGUUCCUCGGCAAUUCUUGCCGAGUCGGCCCUGUUUCGUUAAAACGGUAGUCUCCCCUCCCUCCCAAACAACCCAGAUAUUUUUUUCGGGCUGACCCUUUAUUUAAGAAAGCUAUUAAAAUAGUUUAAAUGACCAAUGAGCAUGGCUAUUUGGGUUGAUUGGCAGUUGCCAUUCUUUAGAAUUAUUGUUUUGAUUGACAGGCAGGCCGUUGUCAAGGAGAAGGGCGAGUCUCGCGGCGUCUCCAGGGGAAGCCCCCUCCCUCCCUGCUGCAUUACUUUCAACCAGCUCUGCUUUCAACAGCUUCAUUACUGCGAUGGGUUAUUUAAUUUUGGUACACUUUCUCCACAAAUAUGCGUUGUUGUACUUUUGGAUGUACUUCUCCGUACUCUGUAAGGACCUCUGCAGUUUUGGCAAACAACAAACCACACUUCACCUGGAAAACAGAGCCAGGACUCACUGUCAGAUGUCUGAAAAUGUACAGUAGGCUACACGCCAGCAGGUCUCACCAUAGUCAACAUCAUCAAGGAUUGUCACUCCGACCUGAGAAGAGGCCCCAUAGAGACACGGACAAGGACCAGCCACUGUUGCCAGUGCACAACUGAGGACCCGACCAGCCUGCUGCCAUCUAUGAUAUAUAGUACCCGCGGAGCGGUCUG